GAACCGUGCGAACGUUGUUCGGAAUCACUGGGCUUAAAGGGCGCGUAGGCGGCCCGGCCAGUCUCGGGUGAAAGCCCCCGGCUCAACCGGGGAAGUGCCCAAGAUACUGCCGGGCUCGAGGGAGGUAGGGGCGGAUGGAACUUCCGGUGGAGCGGUGAAAUGCGUUGAUAUCGGAAGGAACGCCGGUGGCGAAAGCGAUCCGCUGGGCCUCGACUGACGCUGAGGCGCGAAAGCCAGGGGAGCAAACGGGAUUAGAUACCCCGGUAGUCCUGGCCCUAAACGAUGGGUACUAGGUUGUGAGCUUGACAUGGGCCCACAGCCGAAGCCAAAGUGUUAAGUACCCCGCCUGGGGAGUAUGGUCGCAAGGCUGAA
rnacentral:rRNA from 1 species